GCCGCAUCCAUCCAGCACGCUCCAGACCUAACCCCAUGUCGGCGAAGGUGAAGUGAACAACGAUGACGGACGAUCCCAGAGAUCCGGAUUAGCACCAUGACGACGCGCGCGUCCCACUCCUCCGACCAUGAACCCGAGCGGCAAAGCCCAUGAAGACUUGGCGGCGCUGCGGGUAGAACCGGCGUCCCAGGCGAGCUACAUCCAAGAUGGUCGCCGCGCUUUUGCCCUCCCUCCACACCCGUUGUUCCUUCCCUGCAGGAGACACGGGUUGGCUCAGCCGGAGUGGUUCCUCCUCCUCCCUUCUCGCUCUGUAGGUGGAGAAUGUUUUUCACUAAGGGUGUGGGCGACUGGUCAGGCCGAUCGAUGUUGAAAGUGCUUCCUUAUGGUGGUUCUUAUUCUUCUAUCUAUUGGGCAUGCGACAAAAGGACAUGUAUGCAUCAUGUCAGCUGGUACAGAUCUGCAUCUAUAGAUGAGUGCAUGUGCUCUGAAUUGUUGGGUUUGAUCUAUGUUCUGCUGGGUGUUGGGUUCUCUCUUGCCGCUCCAGUCGGCCAGGUUAGUAUCCAAGUCAUAUUACUAUGUAAUGCCACUCGUGAGUGUGACUUUGAUUGAAAUAAAAUAGCACUAGCUACCGGCUGUUGUUUUUGCUGUAUGCAAGUUUGUUCACAAAAAAUGAGCAAAUGAAAUAUUAAAUGUUGUAGAUACUUAGCAAAGCAAACUUCACAGCGAUGAAAACGACAACAUCUUGACUAUACAUAUAAGAUAUUGAUCGUUAAUCGAGCAUAAAAUAGAAGGGUUGUGUAAGCAAGAUGAAGAUAUUAACUGUGUAUUGGAUCAGACUAUUGUUACAAAAGUAAUGCAUAUGUGAACCCACUUGUGAAACAAUUCAUGCUUGCUAGAGAUCAAAUUAGGGGCCGUCCUGAGUAAUAUGUUGCAAUUAGAGUAAUUGGCUCCAUAGCUUGACUGCACCACUAUCUCUUAACAUUUUUCUUUCCACGAAAAUCUCUCAACGAUAUUAUAUUCUAUGUCCAUAUGAUGUAGCAUUGCAGUAUGUGUUUCAUUUGGUCGUUCAGCUUUGCCAACUUUUGGUGAUUUAUAGUUUUUUUUUUUUUGCGUAAGCCUAUUGCUAUCUCUACAGGUUGUGUGUUUUUAAAAGAAAAAGUGACUAUCUUUGGUAAAUGAUAUUAACUAUAGCUUUCAGUAUCCUUGAAAUGUUCGUUUGUCUCUAACAUGCUCAUGUCCCCCCCCCCUAAAAAACAUGCUCAUGUUUUUAUUUAAUACAACCAUGGCGCAUGAAUGGAGAGCCAGGGGGCUCCCGAUUUGAUGAUAAGUGUUAUGAUAACAAGAUGACCCAAUUGUUGUGAGUCACUUCUCUACCAAUUUUAUUAUGUAAGGUUAUAAUAAGCUUUCUCUCUUAUUCUCUGAUACCAUCUACUGAUACAAAGUUGAUACCAAGGAGUUUGCCACUUCAUAUGCUUGAAAUGCAUGAGUAUUACUGACGUGAAGUUUCAAGAGAAUCUUUUCUUUAUGAUGCAGUUAAACAAUCCGUUUCCUUAUCUGCAUGACCUAUGCUAACAUUCAAGAAAUAUAUGAUACUAAGAAAUGUGCUGUCAUGAUCAACUAUGCAUAAAUUUAUGUUUAAAACAUUCAUGAUGGUGGGAACUAUAUUUUGAGGAACA